rnacentral:rRNA from 1 species
UACAGAGGGUGCGAGCGUUGUCCGGAAUCACUGGGCGUAAAGGGCGCGUAGGUGGCGGCCCAAGUCCAUGGUGAAAGCUCGAUGCUCAACAUCGAGUCGGCCACGGAUACUGGGUUGCUCGAGCACUGUAGGGGCAGAUGGAAUUCCGGGUGUAGCGGUGGAAUGCGUAGAGAUUCGGAAGAACGACCGGUGGCGAAGGCGGUCUGCUGGGCAG